rnacentral:rRNA from 1 species
CAUGCAGUCGAGCGGCAGCGGGAAAGUAGCUUGCUACUUUUGCCGGCGAGCGGCGGACGGGUGAGUAAUGCCUGGGGAUCUGCCCAGUCGAGGGGGAUAACAGUUGGAAACGACUGCUAAUACCGCAUACGCCCUACGGGGGAAAGGAGGGGACCUUCGGGCCUUUCGCGAUUGGAUGAACCCAGGUGGGAUUAGCUAGUUGGUGGGGUAAUGGCUCACCAAGGCGACGAUCCCUAGCUGGUCUGAGGGGAUGAUCAGCCACACUGGAACUGAGACACGGUCCAGACUCCUACGGGAGGCAGCAGUGGGGAAUAUUGCACAAUGGGGGAAACCCUGAUGCAGCCAUGCCGCGUGUGUGAAGAAGGCCUUCGGGUUGUAAAGCACUUUCAGCGAGGAGGAAAGGUUGGCGCCUAAUACGUGUCAACUGUGACGUUACUCGCAGAAGAAGCACCGGCCAACUCCGUGCCAGCAGCCGCGGUAAUACGGAGGGUGCAAGCGUUAAUCGGAAUUACUGGGCGUAAAGCGCACGCAGGCGGUUGGAUAAGUUAGAUGUGAAAGCCCCGGGCUCAACCUGGGAAUUGCAUUUAAAACUGUCCAGCUAGAGUCUUGUAGAGGGGGGUAGAAUUCCAGGUGUAGCGGUGAAAUGCGUAGAGAUCUGGAGGAAUACCGGUGGCGAAGGCGGCCCCCUGGACAAAGACUGACGCUCA